UUUCUUUACCUGCCUAGGCCUUCUGAAGCAGCAUUUGUAGCCGCAGUCUUGAAAACCAUGCAGGCUGGAAGAGUAGCUAAAGAAAUGUUUAUUUGAGAUGGCACAUGUUUCUUCAGAAACUCAAGAUGUUUCUCCCAAAGAUUAGUUAACUGGUUCAGAAGCCUCCAGUAGGUCUCCGUUGCAACAGAAUUUUCAAAGAUCUGCCUUUCUAGCCACCUUUCUGGCAGAAGAGAAAGAAUCCGAUGCCUUAAGCAAACUUCAUGUCUUUCUGUUUCACCACAGUCCAGUUGGAGCAACAUCUGGACAACUCCACUUUCAGCUGUGCCCUUUCCUAUCUUGUAAUUUGGGCCCCAUUUUAGAGAUUCCCAGUUGUUGUGCUGAAAUGGCUUACACUGGGGAUCCACCUGCACAAUUGUUCAGAAGGAGCAUUCACUGUGGAUUUGGAACAUCACGGACGUUCUUCAUCUUGGGUCAUCACUUGAGUAAUGAAGUAGAUGGAGCAAAUGUACUUUCCCCCUUACAUAAAUACAAUUAAUAGCACCACAUAAUGUAUAUAAAGCAAACAUAAGACUGAAGGAUGGAGCAAGAAGAUAAACGGAUUGAAGCAUGUCUUUAGGGAGCCUUCCUGAACCACCUUUCUUGAGCUCUGAUUACCUGGGGGAAAGGGAAGAAUUUUGAAAUUAGAUAUGUUUCACCAAAACUAAUUUUUCUACAUCUUCAACUUAUAAAAACUGGUACUUAUGUUGAAACUUACCUUUAAAAGGUGAGUCAAAUUCGUCAUUGUCCUUAAAAUUUAGCUUGUUGACAACUGAAAAUUCACUUUUGUCUUGAAGUUCCCUCUGUCUGUGGUAAAGGCUAGAUUGGAAAAAUAAAAUUCAUGAAUAUGAAGUUCUAAUAAUGGAAUACCCAAGAGCAUCAGGUGGCAAAAAGCCUUCUGUUACUCAAGAAAAUGCUCUGAAAAAUUUCUUUUCUCUUUUUUUUGUAAAGAUUACUCCACCUCACCACCAUCAUGAGGCACUGUUCUCAGCAAUUAAUACCUGCUUACUCAGUUACUCACUGUAACUAUGUUAUGCUGUGAAGUGGGUACUACAGUUGUUAAGGAAGAAUAA
rnacentral:sRNA from 1 species